UCUGGUGUCAGCCGCCGCGGUAAAACCAGCACCUCAAGUGGUCAGGAUGAUUAUUGGGCCUAAAGCAUCCGUAGCCGGCUCUAUAAGUUUUCGGUUAAAUCUGUACGCUUAACGUACAGGCUGCCGGGAAUACUGCAGAGCUAGGGUGUGGGAGAGGCAGACGGUACUCGGUAGGAAGGGGUAAAAUCCUUUGAUCUAUUGAUGACCACCUGUGGCGAAGGCGGCCUACCAGAACACGUCCGACGGUGAGGGAUGAAAGCUGGGGGAGCAAACCGGAUUAGAUACCCGGGUAGUCCCAGCUGUAAACUAUGCAAACUCAGUGAUGCAUUGGCUUGUGGCCAAUGCAGUGUUGCAGGGAAGCCGUUAAGUUUGCCGCCUGGGAAGUACGUACGCAAGUAUGAAACUUAAAG
rnacentral:rRNA from 2 species